AGUAUUAUUUUAAUAAAAUAACAGUUUCACUCAUUCUCCUUCUAAGAAUACAUAUACUACCUCUUUCAGGCUUCAUGGACCUUUUAACUAGUCAACAAGAAACCCACAUCGUUCAUCCCAGUCCUUAUGACAGUGUUUCACCAAGUUUUAAGUAUUAAACUUGGUGAAUCAGAAGUUCCUCUCUUUAGCACCCAAUGGUCUGAUGCUCUAAGUCAAGGUGAAAACUCAAUUGGUAACCGAAAACAAAAAAAGAGGACCAACUGGACACCGAAAGAAGAUAUGGUGCUAAUCUAUUCGUGGCUAAACACAAUAAAGGAUUCCAUAGUUGGGAAUGAGCAAAAAGCAGAUGCAUUCUGGAAACGUAUUGCGGCCUAUUCUGCAUCAAGUCCGAAGGUUGCUUGUUUGAAAAAGAGGGAGCCAAGUCACGGUAAGCAAAGGUGGGGAAAGAUUAAUGACAUUGUUUGCAAGUUUGUCGGAUGCCAUGAGGCUGCAACAACUCAUAUGUCUAGUGGGCAGAAUAAUAAUGAUGUGAUGAAGCUAGCAUGUAAAUAUACGCAAAUGAUUACAAGAAGAAAUUCAGUUUGGAGCAUGCUUGGAAAGAGUUAAGACAUGAUUAGAAGUGGUGUGUAUCUACACAAACUACUAAAGAGACUAGAAUGGCAAAAAGAACAAAGUGUGAGGAGGGUUGUGCACAUUCUUCAAGCUCAAACCCACUAAGCCAUGGAGAGGAUGUAGCACAAGCUUGUCAUCUUGGUGUGAAGGCUUCAAACGCCAAAGGUCUCCAGUAAAAGCUAAAGGAAACAAGAAGAUUGCAAGUUGAAGAAGAGGACAAAAAGAUGGCAAGUUGAAGAAGAGGACAGGUUCACAUGGUUCAUUUUCGGACCACAAAUAUUUUGCAUAUCAUACCACAAACAUUGGACCACACAUAUUUUCCGUUGCUAUAUAAGUCACAAUGUAUGACACUUAAAUUACGACAUUCUUCUUUUGCUA